CCUACGGGUGGCAGCAGUGAGGAAUAUUGGUCAAUGGGCGCGAGCCUGAACCAGCCAAGUAGCGUGAAGGAUGACUGCCCUACGGGUUGUAAACUUCUUUUAUAGAGGAAUAAAGUGAGGCAAGUGUGCCUUUUUAUAUGUACUUUAUGAAUAAAGAUCGGCUAACUCCGGGACAGGAGCCGCGGUAAGACGGUGGAUCCGAGCGUUAUGCGGAUUUGUUGGGUUUAAAGGGAAUGUAGAGGGGUUGGUAAGUCAGUUGUGAAAGUUUGCGGCUUUACCGUAAAAUUGCAAUUGAUACUGGCAGACUUGAGUAAAGUUGAGGUAGGCGGAAUUCGUGGUGUAGCGGUGAAAUGCUUAGAUAUAACGAAGAACUCCGAUUGCGAAGGCAGCCUACUAAACUGCCACUGACAUUGAUGCUCGAAAGUGUGGGUAUCAAACAGGAUUAGAUACCCUUGUAGUC
rnacentral:rRNA from 1 species